rnacentral:rRNA from 1 species
UACAGAGGGUGCAAGUGUUGUUCGGAAUUAUUGGGGGUAAAGAGUGUGUAGGCGGCUUUGUAAGUGGGGUGUGAAAGCCCUCAGCUCAACUGAGGAAGUGCGCCCGAAACUGCAGAGCUUGAGUGCCGGAGAGGGUGGCGGAAUUCCCCAAGUAGAGGUGAAAUUCGUAGAUAUGGGGAGGAACACCGGUGGCGAAGGCGGCCACCUGGACGGUAACUGACGCUGAGACGCGAAAGCGUGGGGAGCAAACAGG